GAAGUGCCUUCGCGCUGCCUAGGAGACGGGACGCGAGGCCCUCGGCUGACAGGGCCCGGCUGGCCGCGCCCACCCGGUCGCCAUGGAGCUGCCCCCAGGGCCGCGCGACGAUCCCCGCGCCUGGGAAGAUGACUCGGACCCGGAGUCGGAGCCCGACCCGGACGCGCAGGCCGAGGCUUACGUGGCCCGCGUACUCAGUCCGCCGAAAGUCGGGCAGCCGCCCCCACGCGCCCCUUUGCUGUCCGCGCCCGUCGCAUCCCCUGGCGCCCUGGAGCCGCGGGCGGCGUCCAAGGGUGCGCCCGUGGGGGUCCCGGGACUGCUGAGCCUUCCUCCGGAGCUGCUGCUCGAGAUCUGCGCCUACCUAGACGCGCGCCUGGUGCUCCACGUCCUGCCGCGCGUGUGCCACACGCUGCGCGACCUCGUGCGUGACCAUGUCACCUGGAGGCUACGCGCGCAGCGCCGCGUACGCGCGCCCUACCCAGUGGUGGAAGAGGAGGACUUUGACUGGCCGACAGCCUGCAUCGAGCUGGAGCAACACCUGUCACGCUGGGCGGAGGAUGGGCGCUGGGCUGAGUACUUCUGCUUGGCUGAUGGGCACUUUGCUUCCAUUGACUCGGUGCUGCUGCUCCAGGGUGGAGCGCUUUGUCUGUCAGGCUCCCGAGAUCGCAACGUCAACCUGUGGGAUCUGCGGCAGCUGGGGGUGGAGUCCAGCCAGGUUCUAGUCAAGGCCCUGGGCACCGAGAAGAACAGCACCCACAAGGGCUGGGUGUGGUCGCUGGCAGCGCUGGACCACCGCGUGUGCUCUGGUUCCUGGGACAGCACGGUGAAGCUCUGGGACAUGGCGGCCGAUGGACAGCAGUUCGGCGAGAUAAAGGGCAAGGCAGCUGUGCUGUGCUUGUCCUACCGGCCUGACAUCCUGGUGACUGGCACCUAUGACAAGAAGGUGACCGUCUACGACCCCAGAGUCGGCCCGGCGCUGCUGAAGAGCCGGCGGCUGCACUCCAGUGCGGUGCUGGCGCUGCUGGCGGACGACCGGCACAUCAUCUCGGGCAGCGAGGACCACACGCUCGUGGUGUUCGACCGCCGGGCCAACAGCGUCCUGCAGCGGCUGCAGCUGGACUCCUACCUGCUCUGCAUGUCCUACCAGGAGCCCCAGCUCUGGGCUGGUGACAACCAGGGCCUGCUGCAUGUCUUCGCCAACCACAACGGCCGCUUCCAGCUCGUCCGGUCUUUUGAUGUGGGCCACAGGUCUCAGAUUACAGGGAUCAAACACUCGCUGGGGGCCUUGUACACCACGUCCACUGACAAGACCAUCCGGGUGCAUGUGCCCACGGAUCCGCCGAGGACCAUCUGCACCCGAAGCCACAACAAUGUGCUGAAUGGGAUCUGCGCGGAGGGCAACCUGGUGGUCGCCGCCUCCGGGGGCCUAUCGCUGGAGGUCUGGAGGCUGCAGGCCUGAGCGGGCAGACGCCGACAUGGAGGGGGAUCUGCCGGCCCACAGGCUGGGCCGUGGCCUCUGUUCUCGGGGGACCUUCCCCGCAUGCUGGUGCUGCCUCUGCCCUGUCCCGAAGCCCUGAGGCACAAGGAGUCCGGGCCAUGGCCUCCUGGGCGGUCGGGGCCGUGGAGGUCACAGGAUGGCGCAGGGCUUCUUCUCCUUGAAGGGGUUGGCAGCCGCUGGGAUGCCCACAAGGAAGGGGUCGCUCUUGGCCUGCUCCGUGCAGAACUGCAGCAGGUCGGCAGCCGCCUUGGACACCUGCAGGCCAGCCUGGUCAGCCAGGCC